rnacentral:rRNA from 1 species
UACGUAGGGGGCAAGCGUUGUCCGGAAUCAUUGGGCGUAAAGCGCGUGUAGGCGGCUCGGUAAGUCUGCUGUGAAAGUCCAGGGCUCAACCCUGGGAUGCCGGUGGAUACUGUCGAGCUCGAGUCCGGAAGAGGCGAGUGGAAUUCCUGGUGUAGCGGUGAAAUGCGCAGAUAUCAGGAGGAACACCAAUGGCGAAGGCAGCUCGCUGGGACGUGACUGACGCUGAGAGGCGAAAGCGUGGGGAGCAAACAGG